CUACGGGGGGCUGCAGUGGGGAAUUUUGGACAAUGGGCGAAAGCCUGAUCCAGCCAUGCCGCGUGCAGGACGAAGGCCUUCGGGUUGUAAACUGCUUUUGUACGGAACGAAACGGCUCUCUUUAAUACGGGGGGCUAAUGACGGUACCGUAAGAAUAAGCACCGGCUAACUACGUGCCAGCAGCCGCGGUAAUACGUAGGGUGCAAGCGUUAAUCGGAAUUACUGGGCGUAAAGCGUGCGCAGGCGGUUGUGUAAGACAGAUGUGAAAUCCCCGGGCUCAACCUGGGAACUGCAUAUGUGACUGCACAGCUGGAGUACGGUAGAGGGGGAUGGAAUUCCGCGUGUAGCAGUGAAAUGCGUAGAUAUGCGGAGGAACACCGAUGGCGAAGGCAAUCCCCUGGACCUGUACUGACGCUCAUGCACGAAAGCGUGGGGAGCAAACAGGAUUAGAUACCCCUGUAGUC
rnacentral:rRNA from 1 species